rnacentral:rRNA from 2 species
UGGGAUAACUCCGGGAAACCGGGGCUAAUACCGGAUAACACCUACCCCCGCAUGGGGGAAGGUUGAAAGGUGGCUUCGGCUAUCACUUACAGAUGGACCCGCGGCGCAGUAGCUAGUUGGUGAGGUAACGGCUCACCAAGGCGACGAUGCGUAGCCGACCUGAGAGGGUGAUCGGCCACACUGGGACUGAGACACGGCCCAGACUCCUACGGGAGGCAGCAGUAGGGAAUCUUCCGCAAUGGACGAAAGUCUGACGGAGCAACGCCGCGUGAGUGAAGAAGGUUUUCGGAUCGUAAAACUCUGUUGUUAGGGAAGAACAAGUGCCGUUCGAAUAGGGCGGCACCUUGACGGUACCUAACCAGAAAGCCACGGCUAACUACGUGCCAGCAGCCGCGGUAAUACGUAGGUGGCAAGCGUUGUCCGGAAUUAUUGGGCGUAAAGCGCGCGCAGGUGGUUUCUUAAGUCUGAUGUGAAAGCCCACGGCUCAACCGUGGAGGGUCAUUGGAAACUGGGGAACUUGAGUGCAGAAGAGGAAAGUGGAAUUCCAAGUGUAGCGGUGAAAUGCGUAGAUAUUUGGAGGAACACCAGUGGCGAAGGCGACUUUCUGGUCUGUAACUGACACUGAGGCGCGAAAGCGUGGGGAGCAAACAGGAUUAGAUACCCUGGUAGUCCACGCCGUAAACGAUGAGUGCUAAGUGUUAGAGGGUUUCCGCCCUUUAGUGCUGCAACUAACGCAUUAAGCACUCCGCCUGGGGAGUACGGUCGCAAGACUGAAACUCAAGGAAUUGACGGGGGCCCGCACAAGCGGUGGAACAUGUGGUUUAAUUCGAAGCAACGCGAAGAACCUUACCAGGUCUUGACAUCCUCUGACAACCCUAGAGAUAGGCUUUCCCCUUCGGGGACAGAGUGACAGGUGGUGCAUGGUAGUCGUCAGCUCGUGUCGUGAGAUGUUGGGUUAAGUCCCGCAACGAGCGCAACCCUUGAUCUUAGUUGCCAGCAUUCAGUUGGGCACUCUAAGAUGACUGCCGGUGACAAACCGGAGGAAGGUGGGGAUGACGUCAAAUCAUCAUGCCCCUUAUGACCUGGGCUACACACGUGCUACAAUGGACGGUACAAAGGGCUGCAAGACCGCGAGGUUUAGCCAAUCCCAUAAAACCGUUCUCAGUUCGGAUUGUAGGCUGCAACUCGCCUACAUGAAGCUGGAAUCGCUAGUAAUCGCGGAUCAGCAUGCCGCGGUGAAUAC